CCCUUGCUCCUGGCGGUGCCCGUUGGGCCCUGCUGCCUGCAGGCAGGGCUUGGCUUGGGCAGCGCCUGCGGCAGCGUGACCGGCCCUGCGUGAGGAGGGGCUGCCGGUGGGUUUGGUUUUAUGAAUUAGCUUGAGACCCCGCUCUUCGCUGCUGCAGCCCUUCUGGCGCUGUGUUUAAGCCACAGCUUUGUGUCUGCAGAGAAACGCUUUUAUUUGGCUCCAGGUGUGGGAUAAGCACCCUUUUGGCAGAGAGGGCAGCCCCUUUUUGUGAAGCAGUUUAUGGCCUCGGUAUUGCUUGCAUCAGAACAAGUAAAGCUUAAAACGUAAGCCUGCUUGGAAAAGGUUUAAGUAAGCUGGGGCCAGGACGGCUGAGGGCCAAUAUAUACUGGCGAUUGAGCACACUGGCAUAAAAGCAAUGGAGAGAAAAUUUAACAAAAAGUCAGCGUUGUGUCUUGGGCUGUCCCAGGACUCUGCAGUGAGUCAGUGGAAUCCAGGUGCUGAGGUGAAUGGGAAGCGGAGCCUCACCUUUGCAUGGUCCCGGGCUGCUUUGCUUUGCAUUGCUGAUGAAUCAUAUUGGUGACUGUUGGAACGCAGAAGUGGGCAGUUGCAGAGAUAGAGCCGAGCCUGAGGGCAGGAAUAGGGAAUUGCCUUCCAGGUCAGGAAGGCAGGCUGGGUGGUUAGGCUGUGCAGUCUUCUUUGAGAGCACAGUCAGUUCCUGAGACUUCCCAGGAGUUUCUUGCAGAGAUUCAUCUGGAGGACUAAGAAAGUGGAGCCAGUGACAUUAUAUUGACUCCACUGAUACUAUCCUCCUAAAUUAAAUGGUGGAAGAACAAGGCCUGCCUGUGAGUGAAAGUCAGGACCUACUUCAUCUACCUACAAGGUUUUAAUAGCAAUUAGAGGGAGCAAGUUGAAAGUCAGGUGUUUCUGUAGAAAAUGGUGGGUGUGUUUGGUUUGAAUCGAACACAAUAAACCAUAUUUCAGGGCUGUUGUGUUGCCUGUUGUUGUAUUUGCACUUUUGACAUUGUCUCACCUGUGUGUUUUUGCUCACAGGCCCGUGGGUCCCUCUGUUCCUGGCUCCAGGACUGGGUGAGGAGGGACGCUGCAUGUGCUGAAGGAUUAUGGUUUGGCCCUUACAGUCUCACAGGUGUCCUGCACUUCCCCCUGUCUGGUGGGCUUAUACAGAAAGAUGAGGUUGAUGUGAACUUCCAGCUUGGGUGCUGUACUGGUCUGAUCAGUAGACCCUGUAGUGGAAGUGGUGGCCUCCCUGUAAAGGAUUUAUAUAAAGAUAUUUCUGUCGCUGCCUUAGCUGUCCUGUACCGUAUCUAGCAAUGACGACUGAGUCGUAUUCUGCUGAGCAGGCUGCUCCAUACUUAGCCAUCAGACCUGCAUUCUCCAACAGGUUCACCAGGCUGGCAAUGUAGUGAUGGAGCUGUUUGGUACCCGUAGAGUCCCACUCCAAGGGUUUCCGAGCACCUUGCGUUUAGCUCAGAAAAUCUGUCCUUGCAGCAGUCCUGUGAAGGGGUUGUGAAACCCUGGGGUCUCCCAGGGCAGUUCACCAGUUGAAAAAUAUUUUGGAUUGGGUUCUUGUAUCAUCUGAAGUGAAUGGCUAAUCCUGGCGCCAGGAUACAGGUAUGGUUUAAACACUUGAGGUGAAAGCUGUUGGUGGGGAGCAGUGGGACUGUUCACAACAGAACAUCUGCUUUUAUCAGAAUCGUCGGGGUCACCAGCAGCCUUUCUGCAUUAAAGGCUUUCUUGGGUGGUUCAGACAUCCUCAUACCUCUGCUCUGAUACUCGUGUGUUUUACUCUUUCAGAUACCUACUCGAGAGUGUGGCGCUCUAUUUUUGGCAGAUAAAGGUAAAAUGUGUUCCAGUGGGUGGUGGCAGUUGGACCCUGUAUCAAGGCACACAUUUUUAAGCAAAGAAUGGUGCUUUCUCGCCACUUUAUUCCCUGGCAGAGGAGCUGUACGCUUUAGCUGCUGUUCUCUGGUAUGGCCUUGCCAAUGUCGGCAGGGCUCAUGUGGCCACCUCCUGCCCGCUGCAUUGGCAGUGGUUGCGGGCUGAGUCACCUGUUUCUGGUGGACACGAGUUGUGGUCAUUGCAAGACAUAGCAACUGAAAGUCUCUGGCCUGCCUUACAGGAGGUCUGACAAAGUGACCAUAAUAACCCUUUCUGCCCUGGAAAUCUCUGAAUUCCUGGUAGGCCAAGAAAUUACUCUGUACUUACAUAGCUCAGUGUUGCUAAACCUGUCUUGUUUUGAGGCUUGCAAAACAAAUAGAUACCCAAGAGAAGAUGGUACUAAUCACUGCUGUAAUGACAUAUUCAACUCCUGUUUUUAUGGUUGCUCCAAAGCCUAUUUUGGGGAGACUUUUUUUAAGCUUUUUGGGGAAGAACAGACAAGCUUUUGGCGUGCAAUUCUACAUCAAAUCUCUUCAGUUUUGCUAGGCUGCGUUUAUUUGUAAGACCCUGUAUAUUGUAGAGGCCGCUGCGCGUUCCUGACUAUUCCCUAGAAUGGAAACUUGAAACAAUGAUUUUUGUAAUGAAUGUGCAAUAAAUCUGUGGAAAAGA